rnacentral:lncRNA from 10 species
UUAUGGAGGCCACAGACACUGAUGAGCUGACAUUGUAUUGGGAAGCAAAGGUCAGGGGCUCUGUGUGAAGGCAAGAGGUCCAAAUGAUUUCUCAAGGGAUCUAAGGGAACUGGACGGCGGAGAAAACGAUCAAGGGGCAGGCCCUGCACAGGGACUGGGAAGGCAAGCAGAGAAACUAAAGAGCGCUAGCCAAAAUGGUGGAAGAGAAUUCUGGGGCUGUGGCACAACUAUCCACAAAAGCUUCCUCUUUCCUUAGUGGAGUCUCAGUACAGUUCACUCAGGAGGAGAAUCUAACGAAUAGGCACCAGCUGCAUCAAGGGACACUUACUUCACUCCAUGUCCUGGCACCUUCCUGAGGAUGAAGAUGCCACAAUUCACCAGAUGAGUCAAUUCACGGGAAAGGCGCUAGUCAAGUCCCAGGCUCUGUCUAGCAACUGUCUUUCCAGUGGAAAAGAAGUUAGCUGAAGUAAUCAAAGGAUUCCCUAACGCAAGAGUUGGGACAUGCCAAAGUCCCUCUUCAAGGGGAGAGAGGCAGCUGCAUGGUUACAAAGUAGACAAAGAAAGACAAGGGGCUUCUUUUAAACUGGAAUGUGUGAAAUAGAAGCAGGGAGCUGUGAAUGCCACAGCAGCAAUUAUGCAGAAAGACUGCAGUGCAGACACUGAGCAGCACCAUCCUAUCUGAUAACAUCAGCAGCGGCAGAGGCAUAUUCCAACAAGAGCUGUUUAAGAGCUGCUAAUUACUUAGAUUCCAAUAGGAGCUAUGUCUUAAAAGUGAUUACAAUUUUUGAUUACAGCUUUUUGAACUGAUUGCAGCUGUAAGCUAUGAAGGCAGUAAUCUAAAUACAAGCAAAAAUUCCUUUGAUCAAACACAAAGGAACUCUUCCAAAUAAAGAUACCUUUAUUUUACAUACAUAUAUAGCUAUGUGUUUCGCAUGCGUAAACAAGUGAGUUAUACACAUCUAUUAAACAUAUAACCAUCUACACUAA